rnacentral:rRNA from 1 species
UACGGGGGGGGCAAGCGUUGUUCGGAAUUACUGGGCGUAAAGGGCUCGUAGGUGGCCAACUAAGUCAGACGUGAAAUCCCUCGGCUUAACCGGGGAACUGCGUCUGAUACUGGAUGGCUUGAGUUUGGGAGAGGGACGCGGAAUUCCAGGUGUAGCGGUGAAAUGCGUAGAUAUCGGGAGGAACACCAGUGGCGAAGGCGGUUCUCUGGGCCUUACCUGACGCUGAGGAGCGAAAGCCAGGGGAGCAAACGGG